CCUACGGGAGGCAGCAGUGAGGAAUAUUGGUCAAUGGGCGGAAGCCUGAACCAGCCAAGUAGCGUGCGGGAUGAAGGCCCUACGGGUCGUAAACCGCUUUUGCACGGGGAUAACACCCUCCACUUGUGGAGGUCUGCAGGUACCGUGCGAAUAAGGGCCGGCUAAUUCCGUGCCAGCAGCCGCGGUAAUACGGAAGGCCCGAGCGUUAUCCGGAUUCAUUGGGCUUAAAGGGAGCGUAGGCGGGCGUUCAAGUCAGCUGUAAAAUCGCGCGGCUCAACCGCGCCCCGCAGUUGAAACUGGUCUUCUUGAGUGAGCGAGAAGUAUGCGGAAUGCGUGGUGUAGCGGUGAAAUGCAUAGAUAUCACGCAGAACUCCGAUUGCGAAGGCAGCAUACCGGCGCUCAACUGACGCUGAGGCACGAAAGCGUGGGGAUCGAACAGGAUUAGAUACCCGAGUAGUC
rnacentral:rRNA from 1 species